GACGAACGCUGGCGGCGUGCUUAACACAUGCAAGUCGAACGGUGAAGGGACCAGCUUGCUGGUUCUGGAUGAGUGGCGAACGGGUGAGUAACACGUGAGUAACCUGCCCCCUUCUUCUGGAUAACCGCAUGAAAGUGUGGCUAAUACGGGAUAUUCUGGGUCUGUCGCAUGGCGGGCCCGGGAAAGAUAUUGCUUCGGUGGGGGAUGGGCUCGCGGCCUAUCAGCUGGUUGGGGGGGUGAUGGCCUACCAAGGCGGUGACGGGUAGCCGGCCUGAGAGGGUGGACGGUCACACUGGGACUGAGACACGGCCCAGACUCCUACGGGAGGCAGCAGUGGGGAAUAUUGCACAAUGGGCGCAAGCCUGAUGCAGCGACGCCGCGUGAGGGAUGGAGGCCUUCGGGUUGUAAACCUCUUUCGCCAGUGAAGCAGGCCUGCUCCUUGUGGGUGGGUUGACGGUAGCUGGAUAAGAAGCGCCGGCUAACUACGUG
rnacentral:rRNA from 1 species